rnacentral:rRNA from 1 species
UACAGAGGGCCCGAGCGUUGUUCGGAUUCAUUGGGCGUAAAGGGUGCGUAGGCGGCGGGGCAAGUCUGAUGUGAAAUCCCGGGGCUCAACCCCGGAACUGCAUUGGAUACUGCCUUGCUUGAGUACUGGAGAGGGAACUGGAAUUUACGGUGUAGCAGUGAAAUGCGUAGAGAUCGUAAGGAAGGCCAGUGGCGAAGGCGAGUUCCUGGACAGUGACUGACGCUGAGGCACGAAGGCCAGGGGAGCAAACGGG